rnacentral:rRNA from 1 species
UCAGGCCUAACACAUGCAAGUCGAGCGGGGUUUUCGGACCUAGCGGCGGACGGGUGAGUAAUGCGUAGGAAGCUACCCGAUAGAGGGGGAUACCAGUUGGAAACGACUGUUAAUACCGCAUAAUGUCUACGGACCAAAGUGUGGGACCUUCGGGCCACAUGCUACCGGAUGCGCCUACGUGGGAUUAGCUAGUUGGUGAGGUAAUGGCUCACCAAGGCGACGAUCCCUAGCUGGUUUGAGAGGAUGAUCAGCCACACUGGAACUGAGACACGGUCCAGACUCCUACGGGAGGCAGCAGUGGGGAAUAUUGGACAAUGGGCGCAAGCCUGA